GUAGUUCUUGUAAUUUUUUCUUGAGGUGUCACCUCAACAGAGACUUAGUGACGGUGAAAGAUGUAAUUAGGAAGCUUGCUUGCGUGACAGGAACACGUGAGCUUAUUUACGCAUAUGUAUUAAAACCAUCGGGUUUGUGUAGAAACAGAGAUGAUUACAUCUGAAAUUUAAAGUUCUUGGUUAAGAAAAGGAUUAUUUUUGUGUGUUUUUUUUUUUUUUUUCGAGUUCCUGGAAGUUCCCCUGAAUGCUCCUGUCAGCUGACUGACUGACGUGUCCUCUGCUGACCAUGCUUCUUUGAUGUGUAUAACAAUAGGCACGUGUAUAACAAUUGGCGCGUAUAUAACAAUUAUAACAAGCUGUGAGCAUGUACAAACUGGUUUCUUCAAACCUUCUGUAAAUAUACUGCACAGUUUUUAAAAUAGAACUGCAUAGGUGUUCGUGAGGCAUAUGGCAUUCUGAAAUAGAUACCAAGAAUGAGCAGAAUAAGUUCUUGCUAAAAAUGCUUCUUUAAGGGGGCUUAGCGAUGCAGAAAUGAUCAUCAGGGAUUGCUUCCACUGUAGCUACCAACUACUGACUGGAAGAUCAGUUUGUUGAAGAGCCUUGGGUCUGUCUGCAAGCCAGGACAUUGUUCGUGCAGAAUUGCUAAUCUGAGGAUUUCCCAAAGCCCCAGAGUAAACAAGCUUUGAAUAAACCUGACAGAAGGAUGGGAAAGAUUGUCAAGGCUCUUGCUCCAGAUCAGGGCUGCUAGGAAGAAUUUGUCCUUUUUCAUUCUUUUAUACUAGAGGAAGCUAAUACGUACACAACUGAUGUUUUUGUGGAUGGUGAGGGGUUCAGUCCACCAGUUUCAUCAACAGCAAGGAAUUAUA